rnacentral:rRNA from 1 species
CUUGCCUACGGGGGGCAGCAGUAGGGAAUCUUCCACAAUGGACGAAAGUCUGAUGGAGCAACGCCGCGUGAGUGAAGAAGGGUUUCGGCUCGUAAAACCCUGUUGGUAGUGAAGAAAGAUAGAGGUAGUAACUGGCCACUAUUUGACGGUAAUUAAUUAGAAAGUCACGGCUAACUACGUGCCAGCAGCCGCGGUAAUACGUAGGUGGCAAACGUUGUCCGGAUUUAUUGGGCGUAAAGAGAGCGCAGGCGGUU